rnacentral:misc_RNA from 1 species
UUUUUUUGUUUUUUUUUUUUUUAAUUUAAUUUGGAAGCAUAUUUUGGCAGUCUUGGAUAUGAGUUUUUUGGUCCAAAUUUGGACUUGAGGAGUGGAAAACAAAGGUAUUUUGUAUUGGCAUGGAAAGUUUUGGGUUUAGAAAUUUAGUCUCUUUAAAUAGGUUGGUAAUUUUUCCCCGUCCUAAUGGAUACCACCUUACCCAACCCUAGUUUGGCAGAUAAAGACCACCUAUGUAUAUAGGAAAAGUUGACAUACCUUCAUUUUAUGUAAAUAUAAAGUAUAGUAUUUAUAAUAUUAAAAAAUAAAUAAUGUUUUCCACCCCCAAAAUUAAGAUGAGCAGGUUAUGCUGAAUGCCCCAUUCCAAACACUUUGCUGUUGCUAUUCAAGGUUUAAUGCAAUUGUAAUAAUCAACCAUGCUUACUGUAAAACUGCUCAGAAAAUUUUGCCUGGAGUACUGUUUCCCCAAAUACAUGUUCAUAUGUUAUGCACGCAAGCAAGCAACUAACAAAUUACAUACUUUUUUAAUAGGAUAUCUUGAAUUUUAACACAAACAAUUUCUUGAAUAACAUCUUACUUUAGUUGACCAGUUGAGUGGCUAUUCUGAUCUGGUAUUCAACUCCAAAAUUUUGUCUCUGGCUUAUACAGCCAUGGAUUGAAAUUGCAGUUAUGGUCAUUUUAUGGUGUUGUGGCCAAAGUAUAAUGGCUGCAGCUGGUGGUGCUAUUGUAAGAAAUUUCCUAAAAAUAGCUUGAAAACAAAGGGAAUAUUUAAAUAUUGUGUAAUGGUUGUAACAGACCGUUUCACCUGUGAUCCUUAAAUAUCUGUCAGAGAACAUCAUGCAACAUAAUUGUAGGACAAAUGUGGAUAUAUAACUGCCAUUAUGUUUUCUAUUGGCUGUUAUUUGAAAUCAAGUGUAGCACACAAGGAAAAGCUCAUUGAGAUUUGGGGUAGAUAAGUUAUGGGUUGUAAUUUUUUUGGAAAAUACAGUUAACUGUUUUGCACUGUAAUGUGAAGAAUCUUAGAAAAGGCAUCAUUUUCAAGGGGGCAAAUCAAACCCAUUAUCUGGAAUUUUAGAAAGAAGAGGAAAAUGCUAAGAUUGCUCCAUUUGUAAGUGAGGACUGCUUUCUUCAAGAUUAGUUGAUGUAUU